UACGGGGGGAGCAAGCGUUGUUCGGAUUUACUGGGCGUAAAGGGCGCGUAGGCGGUCAGCACAAGUCAGUUGUGAAAUCUCCGGGCUUAACUCGGAAAGGUCAACUGAUACUGUGCGACUAGAGUGCAGAAGGGGCAACUGGAAUUCUCGGUGUAGCGGUGAAAUGCGUAGAUAUCGAGAGGAACACCUGCGGCGAAGGCGGGUCUCUGGGCAGUAACUGACGCUGAGGAACGAAAGCGUGGGUAGCAAACAGG
rnacentral:rRNA from 1 species